GACGAGGACCGUGUCAGCAUUGUUCGGCAGUUGUUGGGUAUGUGAGUGGAAAUACAUCCAACAUGCUAACGCAUAUCCAACGCCAUCACCCAGAUAACAAGCAACACAC